AAUCAACCACCGAAGAGGCCAUGCUUCUUAGUCCUGUGCUUAUUCGUAUCUUUAGGCUAUCCUUUUUAGUCAUGUGCAUCGCGUGUGCCAUCUACCCAGCUCUGCAGGAAAUCAACAUACCCCAUGUGCCAGUUCGCCUCACCACCUCGAGCGGGAGGCACAACCACAAUGUGGUCGUCGCGCGCACCUUAACGACACAACCCUUUGGCCCCGUGCUAGCUGGGCUCCAGAAGUAUCACAAGCUCUCGCGAAUGCAGCAGGCUUCGAGGACUUCGGCCCUCGGCCUAGACCUUGGUAGGUCAUUAAGCCACCCUCGUCGAGACAACAGUCGAUCACA
rnacentral:misc_RNA from 1 species